CGGUAGUAUGUGUCCAUGGCGUGUCUACGGACCCCCCAAACAUGAGAAAAGUCCAUACUCUCGUUCUUUUGCUUUCUCCACCUUUCAAGAAAUGUGUGCUCAAACGAGCGGAUUGGAGAUUCGCCCCUGGUGACGUCAAGAAGGGCGAUGCCCCUCCCCCCGGGUGGGUGACGCUCCCCGAGCUAGGUGUGUGUUCCGCCCUCUGAGUCCGUGUUGCAGACGGUAUCGUUACUUCCCUCGCGAACACUGGCUUUCGGUAGAACAAUGUCGAAGGUACAGCGAAACACAGUAGUUGCUUUGUUGUUGGCUGCACAAACCAACACAGGAGUCUUUUUUUUAAUCCCUACGCCCGAGGAUCUGAAGACCCAGUGGAUUCAUUUUAUUUUUGAUGGAAAUGUUCCCGCUCCAACUCCGAAAGUGUUGUACGUGUGUGCUAACCAUUUCACCUCGGACUGCUUUCUCAACCUGGGCCAGGACAACGCAGGAUUUCCUACAAGUCUCAAGAUAAAGCUUGGAUCAGUACCGACUGUCUGUGACCCAACUUUGAACUUCGGAGCUGCCAUCUAUACAGCUUCCUGCAACAGGGGAUGUUGCAUGCCAGACUGACCCACUGUAGGCACACAGUUAUCCUUGAAGAUCUUCAGCGUCACAUCAGAAGUACAGGGAAUGUGGUGGACCUCAUAUUUGAAAAAGUCUUUGUGACCUGGGACCAUACACAGAAGCUGCUUUGGCCAUCCCCAUCCCAGAGGACCUCACUGCACAGUUCGAGCGGCCUGAGAAGGAGGAGGUCAUAUCCAG